rnacentral:sRNA from 1 species
CUGUGGGGAUUUGUUGAGGAGAAAUGAAGUGGAUGUGUGUGUCGAUCCCACCAGCUGUUACGAUCAAACCUUCGCCGGCAAGAGCUUCAGUAGCAGGGCCUACGCAGAGCCUGUUGCAAACACCAUCUUGGAGGUCUUUGUUGCCGGCUUUGCCGAUGCCGUGGAUUUUGCCGUUUUUAAUGCCAAUGUCGGCUUUGUAAAUGCCGGUGUAAUCCACAAUCAGCGCGUUUGUGAUGACGAGGUCAAGUUCGUGGCUGCUGGGGCUGUUGGUUUGGCCCAUACCAUCGCGGAUGG